rnacentral:rRNA from 1 species
UGAGGAAUAUUGGUCAAUGGACGAGAGUCUGAACCAGCCAAGUAGCGUGAAGGAUGAAGGUUCUAUGGAUUGUAAACUUCUUUUAUACGGGAAUAAACGAAUCCACGCGUGGAUUUUUGCAUGUACCGUAUGAAUAAGGAUCGGCUAACUCCGUGCCAGCAGCCGCGGUAAUACGGAGGAUCCGAGCGUUAUCCGGAUUUAUUGGGUUUAAAGGGAGCGUAGGCGGGUUGUUAAGUCAGUUGUGAAAGUUUGCGGCUCAACCGUAAAAUUGCAGUUGAUACUGGCGACCUUGAGUGCAACAGAGGUAGGCGGAAUUCGUGGUGUAGCGGUGAAAUGCUUAGAUAUCACGAAGAACUCCGAUUGCGAAGGCAGCUUACUGGAUUGUAACUGACGCUGAUGCUCGAAAGUGUGGGUAUCAAACAGGAUUAGAUACCCUGGUAGUCCACACAGUAAACGAUGAAUACUCGCUGUUGGCGAUAUACGGUCAGCGGCCAAGCGAAAGCAUUAAGUAUUCCACCUGGGGAGUACGCCGGCAACGGUGAAACUCAAAGGAAUUGACGGGGGCCCGCACAAGCGGAGGAACAUGUGGUUUAAUUCGAUGAUACGCGAGGAACCUUACCCGGGCUUAAAUUGCAACUGACUGAACCGGAAACGGUUCUUUCUUCGGACAGUUGUGAAGGUGCUGCAUGGUUGUCGUCAGCUCGUGCCGUGAGGUGUCGGCUUAAGUGCCAUAACGAGCGCAACCCUUAUCGAUAGUUACUAGCAGGUCAUGCUGAGGACUCUAUUGAGACUGCCGUCGUAAGAUGUGAGGAAGGUGGGGAUGACGUCAAAUCAGCACGGCCCUUACGUCCGGGGCUACACACGUGUUACAAUGGGGGGUACAGAAGGCAGCUACACGGCGACGUGGUGCUAAUCCCGAAAGCCUCUCUCAGUUCGGAUUGGAGUCUGCAACCCGACUCCAUGAAGCUGGAUUCGCUAGUAAUCGCGCAUCAGCCACGGCGCGGUGAAUACGUUCCC